rnacentral:lncRNA from 1 species
UUUGUGUUAUGUGUUUGUGAAUGAAAUUAUCGAUGAUGAUCGUAUAAUGCAUUAUACGUGAGCAAAUGAUGUUGCAGAUGUAGAGAGGCAUGAUAGAUUCGUGAGAUGAUGGGGAAAAUAUUUGAAUUUCUUUAAAAAGUUCUUUUGGUAUAGACUUUUGAUAUAAUGUAUUUGUAGUUGUUUUAUUUCCUUAGUUAUUUUAAUUACU